AUAGGUAUGCAAAGCGAACGCGGCGAACUGAAACAUCUAAGUAGCUGCAGGAAAAGAAAUCAACCGAGAUUCCCAAAGUAGUGGCGAGCGAAAUGGGAUGAGCCUGCACGUUUUAGCAUGACGCAUAGAAGAAUCCUCUGGAAAUAGGAACCAUAGCGGGUGAUAGUCCCGUAUUCGAAAUGCGAUGUGUGGAACUAAGCGUGCGACAAGUAGGGCGGGACACGAGAAAUCCUGUCUGAAUAUGGGGGGACCAUCCUCCAAGGCUAAAUACUCGUAAUCGACCGAUAGUGAACCAGUACCGUG
rnacentral:rRNA from 1 species